rnacentral:rRNA from 1 species
AGAACGAACGCUGGCGGCGUGGAUAAGACAUGCAAGUCGAACGCGACUUAUUUUGUUAGCAAUAACAGAGUAAGUUGAGUGGCGAAAGGGUGCGUAACACGUGGGAAUUUACCAAGAAGUGGGGAAUAGCUCGACGAAAGUCGAAUUAAUACCGCAUGUGAUCGAAAGAUCAAAGUCGGGGACCGCAAGGCCUGACGCUUUUUGAGAAGCCCGCGGCCCAUCAGCUAGUUGGUGAGGUAAUGGCUCACCAAGGCUAUGACGGGUAGCUGGUCUGAGAGGACGACCAGCCACACUGGAACUGAGACACGGUCCAGACACCUACGGGUGGCAGCAGUCGAGAAUUUUUUCACAAUGGACGAAAGUCUGAUGGAGCGACGCCGCGUGGAGGAUGAAGGUUCUUGGAUUGUAAACUCCUGUCACUGCAGAACAAGGAUACGUCAGUUAACAGCCGACGUAUUUGAUGGUAUGCGGAGAGGAAGGGACGGCCAACGUCUGU